GGUUACAGUGCAUAAAAUACAAUGUUAAAAGUAUAAUAAAUAGUUGUAUUAAAAGUUCAUAAUAUGUUCAAAAGAAGAGUCAUAAGAUUUAAAACUGUUUAAAAUAAGUGUUGUAAAAAGGGAAUAAAUAUAAUACUUUCAGUUUAAUAUAUUUGACUAUUUACAGUUAAAAGAUAAAGUAUUUACAAAGGUCUUAAGUUUAUUUAAAACAUUUGUGAUUAGGAAAGAAGGAGAGAUGAAGAAGCAGUUUAGUUUCUGUGUGUAAUCUAACUUGAUACCUGUCUUAUGUCAAUCAUUCCAUUCUUGUGUUGUGUUUGGUUGUUAUCAACCUCACGAGCCAAUCAGAGUACACCAUUUACGUAAGGGGCGGGACUAGUGGUGCAGGUUAGUGUGGGGUGAAGGUGAACAUGCAGCAUGAGAGACGCAGACGCUAUCGAUCAGAGAGCUGAGACGGAGAUAUUCUGAGUGGGGAGCAGUUAAGUUUUAUCGUGAAGGUCGACUACUCGUGGUCCUGAUUUAAACUUCUGUGACCUGCAAGAGGGCGGACGUUGGAGAGAGAGGUCGAGACGGGUUUUUCCAACAGACGGCCCUGCUGUUUUCCUACGUCUUCUUUGAACUUCGCCAUUGUGCGCCAUUGCCCUCGUGAGACUGCAUUGUUUGUCCCCACCUAUCCAUACUAAUCCAACUGGGAGUUUGUGAGUACUAACUGAACAUUGUGCACGUGCUUUUUAUUUUAAGCUCAGUUGAGUGAAGCGGCCAUCACCGUUUUAGGCCACACCGCACCCAAGCUACAUUCAACAGGCCUGCAACGGGUUAAGGUUUUGAAUACCAGGUUGUUUUAAUGUUGUGUGUUUCAUGUGAGUGUGUGUGGGCCCACAGGUAAAUGUUUAUUGAUGUAUUAGUGUUGGAAAUUAACAGAGAACUGUUGAAUAUAACUCAAGUAUUUUAUAUAUUUGUUAUUGUUGUUUUUUACCUUUUAUUUCAUUUUGUAUAAAUAAAUACCUCUGAAGGUUUUGCAUUUAAA